UUUAUUGGAGAGUUUGAUCCUGGCUCAGGACGAACGCUGGCGGCAUGCCUAAUACAUGCAAGUCGAGCGGACUUGAAGAGAAGCUUGCUUCUCUGAUAGUUAGCGGCGGACGGGUGAGUAACACGUAGGCAACCUGCCCUCAAGUUUGGGACAACUACCGGAAACGGUAGCUAAUACCGAAUAGUUGUUUUCUUCUCCUGAAGAGAACUGGAAAGACGGAGCAAUCUGUCACUUGGGGAUGGGCCUGCGGCGCAUUAGCUAGUUGGUG
rnacentral:rRNA from 1 species